UAAAUACUUCCUCCGUCCAACAAAAGAUGUUUAAACUUUGACUAAAUUUGAAUCCAUCUAUACACUAAGUGAUGUCUAGUUACAUCCAAAUUUUGACAAACUUGAGACAUGUUUUGUUCGACGGAGGGAGUAAAAG
rfam:Brachypodium distachyon strain Bd21 chromosome 3, whole genome shotgun sequence.